AUGAUCCUAUGCUGCCGAGAAAAGCCUCUAGCGAGCUGGUACAUGGCCCGUACCCCAAACCGACACAGGUGGUCAGGUAGAGAAUACUAAGGCGAUCGAGAGAACUGUGGUUAAGGAACUCGGCAAAAUGCCCCCGUAACUUCGGGAGAAGGGGGACCAGUCCUGGUGACGACAUUUACUGUCUGAGCUGGGGUUGGUCGCAGAGACCAGAGAGAAGCGACUGUUUACUAAAAACACAGGUCCGUGCGAAGUCGUAAGACGAUGUAUACGGACUGACGCCUCCCCGGUGCUGGAAGGUUAAGAGGACCGGUCAGCCACUUCGGUGGCGAAGCUGAGAAUUUAAGCCCCAGUAAACGGCGGUGGUAACUAUAACCAUCCUAAGGUAGCGAAAUUCCUUGUCGGGUAAGUUCCGACCUGCACGAAUGGCGUAACGACUUCUCUGCUGUCUCAACCAUAGACUCGGCGAAAUUGCAGUACGAGUAAAGAUGCUCGUUACGCGCGGCAGGACGAAAAGACCCCGGGACCUUCACUAUAGCUUGGUAUUGGUGUUCGGUUCGGUUUGUGUAGGAUAGGUGGGAGACUGUGAAACUCGCACGCCAGUGUGGGUGGAGUCAUUGUUGAAAUACCACUCUGACCGUAUUGGACAUCUAACCUCGGACCAUGAUCUGGUUCAGGGACAGUGCCUGGUGGGUAGUUUAACUGGGGCGGUUGCCUCCCAAAAAGUAACGGAGGCGCCCAAAGGUUCCCUCAGCCUGGUUGGCAAUCAGGUGUUGAGUGUAAGUGCACAAGGGAGCUUGACUGUGAGACGUACAUGUCGAGCAGGGACGAAAGUCGGGACUAGUGAUCCGGCACCGGCAAGUGGAAGCGGUGUCGCUCAACGGAUAAAAGGUACCCCGGGGAUAACAGGCUGAUCUUCCCCAAGAGUCCAUAUCGACGGGAUGGUUUGGCACCUCGAUGUCGGCUCGUCGCAUCCUGGGGCUGGAGUAGGUCCCAAGGGUUGGGCUGUUCGCCCAUUAAAGCGGCACGCGAGCUGGGUUUAGAACGUCGUGAGACAGUUCGGUCUCUAUCCGCCGCGCGCGUAAGAAACUUGAGGAAACCUGUCCCUAGUACGAGAGGACCGGGACGGACGAACCUCUGGUGUGCCAGUUGUUCCACCAGGAGCACCGCUGGUUAGCUGCGUUCGGAAGGGAUAACCGCUGAAAGCAUCUAAGCGGGAAGCCUGUUCCAAGAUGAGGUUUCUCACCACCUAGCGUGGUUAAGGCCCCCCACAGACCAUGGGGUUGAUAGGCCAGAACUGUAAGCACAGCAAUGUGUUCAGGUGACUGGUACUAAUCGGCCGAGGACUUAC
rnacentral:rRNA from 1 species